GUCAGGAAAGACCAUUUCCGUGCUCCUGUGUGUGAGGCAACGGGAGGCCGGGCUAAGCUGGUUACUGCCACUCUCCUUCUUUUCAAGCGGGCUGCUGGGUGAAAGUGAAAGUGAAGUCGCUCAGUUGUGUCCGACUCUUUGCGACCCGUGGACUGUAGCCCACCAAGCUCCUCCGUCCAUGGGAUUCUCCAGGCAAGAACAAUGGAUGGUCAUGUAUGGAUGUGAGAGUUGGAUUGUGAAGAAGGCUGAGCACCGAAGAAUUGAUGCUUUUGAACUGUGGUGUUGGAGAAGACUCUUGAGGGUCCCUUGGACAAUCCAUUCUGAUGGAGAUCAGCCCUGGGAUUUCUUUGGAAGGACUGAUGCUAAAGCUGAAACUGCAGUACUUUGGCCACCUCAUGCGAAGAGUUGACUCAUUGGAAAAGACUCUGAUGCUGGGAGGGAUUGGGGGCAGGAGGAGAAGGGGACGACCGAGGAUGAGAUGGCUGGAUGGCAUCACUGACUCAAUGGACGUGAAUCUGAGUGAACUCUGGGAGUUGGUGAUGGACCGGGAGGCCUGGCGUGCUUCGAUUCCUGGGGCCACAGAGUCAGACACGACUGAGCAACUCAACUGAACUGAACUGAAUCCCUCAUUAAUAAUGAGUUAGCAAAGUCUUUAAUAAAUGCUUUAUAUUUGUGUGAAAGUCAUGAUUUUGCCUUCAUCUGAAAAAUUUCCAUUGAUGCCGAGUACAAAAGUAAUCAGUGCAAUUCGUAUUAUUUAACAAAUGCAUAGUAUCAUCACCUCCCGCUCCUCUUGGGAACGUUUUGUAGCGGAUUUAAAGGAAGCUUGGACUAAACUCCUAUUCAGUGUCCUUGGUGAUUUUAUGUUCUCUCGUGGUCACUUUGGUGGCUAAUGGACACUGAGCUCCCAGUUACAAAGUAUUUUUUAAUGACAGCUUUGGCUAUUGGAAAGUACCUUCUUAUAUCAAGUCAAAAUCUUCAUACAACUUCUAACUGUUGGGUCAAGUUAUAUUUCUUUAUCAUACAGAAUGAAUAUAAUCCCACUGUCCUAAAAUUGUCCUUCAAAUAUAGAAAAUAGUUAUAUUCACUGUUACCGUUUUUUUCCCUUCGCAGGAAGAAUUUCCUGAGGUCUUUAGCCUUCCUGAGAUGUAUUCUGAGAUGGAUUAAAAAUCCCUAAUUAUCUUAGACACUCUUAUGAUACUGCUUCCCAAUAGGCCCUAUCAUUCUAUGAAUACACAUUAAAGUUUCAUUAGCAAUUUUGGCAAUAACAUUGCUCUGUUUUUUCAUAUAGAGAUAAAAUCAUAAUAUAUGCUUCUUCCCAUCUGUA
ensembl:lncRNA